CAGGAGAUGGGCUCGGUCCAGCUGGCGUGAGCGAAGGAAAGAAGAUGGGAGCAGGCGGCGUUGAUUCGGGGGUUUGUGGCUUCGCUUGCUACAGACUGACCGAAGAAGUCCCAGCGUUGGAGAUGAAGACACGAGGCAGAAUGAUUCGGUGGAGUCUUCGUUCGGUGCUGGAGAUGAGUGGCGUGAGUGGCCGACAGGGUCAACAAACAGCAAAGAGCGGCUUCAGUUGACCUGGACGCGUGGAGUCCUGCUUUGUAGGGCGCUGGCAGAGGCGUGCGGACGAUGGAGCAGCUUCGCUCGGUGGAGUUUCGGUCUUCAAGGCUUCGUGGAUGCCGCCAGUCAACUACCAAGGCCAGCGAGAAGAGUUUUGACCGAAGGAGACCAACGGUAGUGGGGCUGGCGUGUGGCUGGCAGAAUCGGUGAAGAAGAGGAACGUGGGCUUCAAUUUGCAAAGGAAGGAGCUGCCGGUCUUCAACAUCAGCUAUUCACGAAGGAGUCGCACGAAGAAAUGAGAAGGGAGAGAGAG
rnacentral:lncRNA from 1 species